AUGGCGGCGGCGGCGGAGGACGUGGAGUUCGUCGACUACGACCGCGACGAGGAGGAGGAGGAGGACGCCAUGGACGAGGACGAUCGGGGCGGUGGCCGCGGCGGGCGCGCGCUCCCCGUACCCCACAUCGUCUCCCAGGGCGUGAUGCGCUCGCGCGGCCGCCUCCUCGGCCGCAGCACCUCCGUGCUCGCCUCCAACCGCGACCGCUUCGACUCCCUCGCCGAUGCCGGCAACCCCGGCCACGGCCCACAGCGCUGACCUACAUUUAAAUCUGGAACGCCGCACUGGAUAUGCCAAGGUAAAAUUGAUAUUUAUUCCAACAGGCAGCAAUUCAAUACAAACUGCUAAUGCGCAGCAA
rnacentral:lncRNA from 1 species